rnacentral:rRNA from 1 species
UACGAAGGGGGCUAGCGUUGCUCGGAAUUACUGGGCGUAAAGCGCACGUAGGCGGGUCGAUAAGUCGGGGGUGAAAUCCUGGAGCUCAACUCCAGAACUGCCUUCGAAACAGUCGAUCUUGAGUUCGGGAGAGGUGAGUGGAACUGCGAGUGUAGAGGUGAAAUUCGUAGAUAUUCGCAAGAACACCAGUGGCGAAGGCGGCUCACUGGCCCGAUACUGACGCUGAGGUGCGAAAGCGUGGGGAGCAAACAGG